rnacentral:piRNA from 5 species
UAGCUCAGUCGGUAGAGCAUCAGACUUUU